CACGGGGGGAGCAAGCGUUGUUCGGAAUCACUGGGCUUAAAGGGCGCGUAGGCGGCUUGUCAAGUCAGGGGUGAAAUCUUUCGGCUUAACCGGAAAAGUGCCUUUGAUACUGACAGGCUCGAGGGAGGUAGGGGUAUGUGGAACUUCCGGUGGAGCGGUGAAAUGCGUUGAUAUCGGAAGGAACGCCGGUGGCGAAAGCGACGUACUGGACCUCUUCUGACGCUGAGGCGCGAAAGCUAGGGGAGCAAACGGG
rnacentral:rRNA from 1 species